AACACCAAUUUUUUUUUUUUUUAAAAAGAAUAUCUUAACCCAUUCACGCUCAAUUCUCACAUCUCUCAAAAACUCCCUUUUCUCUCAUACAAUCUGAGAUACAGUCCCUUUAACUUCUCUCUCAUACGGCCUCACCGGCGAACCUAAAGACGUUCGUGACUCGGCAAUCGAACCUCCUGCUGGUUGCUUCGUGUUGGUGUUGUGAGUUGUGACUCAGAUCUUCUACAUGGCUCACUGCCUCACCUACGGCCUACCUGCAGCAGUAGAAUUGCACGAAACUCGAUGGACGACGGUGGACGGUGGACGAACGACAGUGGACCUCCAAGACUCGUGACUAGGUGAAGAUGCAGAGUGGAUAGACAUAAACCUUUGUUCUCCCAACCCAACUUCAGAUGACUGGAUUGGAGUUUUCUCUCCUGCAAAUUUCAACUCGUCAGACUGUCAUUCAGAAACUGAUGUAAUAGAUCAAGUUCCAUAUAUAUGCUCAGCACCAAUAAAGUACAUGUUUGCAAACACCAACAAUUCAGAUUACACAAAGAAUGGAAAAGCUACUCUGCGUUUCCUUCUGAUCAAUUAGCGUGCUGAUUUCUCAUUUGCAUUAUUUUUAGGCGGCUUGUCCAAUCCAAAGGUGGUGGCAGUUUCAAAUUCCAUAACAUUUGCAAACCCUAAAGCACCACUUUAUCCACGUCUUGCGCUGGGGAAGUCAUGGGACGAGAUUCCACCUUAUGCUCAUCCUACAGUGCGAGACAACUACGACGUCAAAGAAUCGUUCCCUUCACCAGACAACAACAACAACAAAUGCGCAUUUUGAAGGUAGCUUUAUACUCUUGUAUCGUUCUGAUCACUCUCAUCUUCAUUGUUAUCUUCAUUAUUCUCAUUGUCAAGUUUCAUUUCAUCUGUCAUCUUCCCUUACACUACCUAUUUUACAAGAAAAAUUGCUAGCUUUAAAGUUAAAGGAAUGUAGUUUAGAACAUGGGUUUUCAAUUUCACUUGUUUCCACUGAGUUUUCUGCUAGAUCAAUGGCUUUUUUGCGAAUUCUGGUGGUUUCCUUGAUGGAUUAUUGAUAUAGGUUGUAAAUUAAUCGAAUUGGGUAUUUCUGAAACUGGGUUUAGUAAAAAGAUGGUGAAUUAAGGCUUGGAGGUCAUUAUAGGGGGUUUCUGCAAAUUCUGGUGAUUUCCUUGAUGGGUUAUUGAUACUGUUACAUUAGGCCAUUGACCCAAAAGACAACCGUCUACUGCUUUAGUGUGUAUAGAAGUAAUAAAUGGCAGUCAAAUGAGACAUUGUGAUGGUGUUCAUGUUUGGGGUAAUAGUAUUGGAAGUGUUCAGUUCAAAUUGAACUAUUGAAAAGGUCCACGAUAGGUGUUAUUGGAGUUUUAUAUGUAAUAUUUUGGGAGUGCUUGAUGUUACUGGAUUAAAUUUUGCCAUAAUACUAUACUAAGUAUCAUUUGUGAACUUAAUUUCCUUUUGUCUUAGUUUAGAUGAAGCAGAAUUUCUGGUAUAAGCAAACAGUUCACAAAGGAAGCAUUAGAAUUGACAAAUAUCUGUACUUGCGAACACAACCCUGAGUACAAGAACAGACAAUGAAAAUAAGUCCAGGCUAUUGGAUGUGAUUAUGUGAACGUCUCAAAUAUUACAUGUCGACAGAAGCUAUAACCUGUUAUAAUAUCUUUAAUUCUGCCAUCUGCUGUUUAAAAGAAAAUCAAAACUAAUGCUCUUAUUGAGAGUCGAAUUCAAGACCUCUCGCUUACUAAACGGGUACCCUAACCAACUGUGCUAGAAGAACGCUUUGCCUUGCUAGUCAAUGGAUUGAAACUUUUUUCAAUGCUGAUACUUAACAGUUUUUGCCUAAUUCUGCAUAGGCAGUUCUUUUUAGUUUUUCCUGUUUUUAGCUCGAUCGUAUCCAUUACAGGUGGAGUCAUGUUCGUGGUCUUUGAAAUUCGGAGUACCAAACUCCAGUCUCCAGUGACUGAACUUGUAGUGUUUACCAGCUCAUUCAGUAUCUAGCAUGAAUUAUAUCUUUCUCCCUGGUGCCUGCAGGUCCCUGUUUUGGCCUCUACAAGACUGCAACUUUUUUACAAUUGUGAACUUAUCACUAAUAAGGCGACAAGCGAUUCCUGAUAAGAACAUGUUUCACAUUCCCGACGAGGUUUCAUACAAGAAGCAGUACUUGAGUGCUGUGAACGUCAGAUGGAGGGAUUUUAAGAGCAAAUUGGUAUCUGGUUGGAUAACAAUGACGAGAGUUAGAUAAAAAAAGAGAAGUUAGGUGAUAGUCCGCCAGACGUGUACAAGCACAUCAAGAAGGAGGAGGAUUGGGCCAUUUUCAAAGAAAGGAUGAUGUCAGAUGAUGCUAUAAAAAAGCGAGAAAAGGCGCUUGAGAGCACAAAGAAGAACACACAUCAUCACCACUUAGGUCAGAGGAGCUAUGGAGAUGCUAGAGAGUUGUGGAGGCAGGAGAAAUUCGAUCCACCUAGUUUUGAUUCUGGAUCGUCAUCUGGUACAACAUCCUCCUCGGUGUCCUCCAGUUUUAACCGGGGUGAUGAUUGGUGGUGCGCGAUGCAUACGAAAGAUCCUGUUACUAAACAGAGAUUUAUUCCAGCUGAGGAAACAAAGAAAGCAGCUGACAAAUACUUGGAGUACAAGGAGAAGCAAGCCAAGGGUGAGUUCGUUCUGGUUCGUAACAGAGAUGCCCUUUUUAUGGCUCUUGGAGAGAAGCCAGAUCAUUCGAGUCGUUGUUAUGGUUUUGGGGGCGUGAAUGUUGGCUACACCAAGGCUUUUGGGCAUGUACCUAGGCAGUAUAUGAGACCGAGUAAGGAGCAAGAGGAGGAACUCAUACGGAAAAUGAGUGAAAGGUGGAGCGAGGACAUCGCCACAUAUAUGCAGAAUGUGAUGAUUUCACAGUCACCUACACAUCCACCAUCUGGGCCAUCUCCUUCACAUGUAGUUUACCUUUGCCAAUUUGUAGAGCUACGCAGUCGGACUUGGAUGGAUUUGGGGAUUCUAUUGGAAGUGUUUGUUGGAUGUGUCCGCAAAGCACCGUUAUGGAGUCCCAUACAUCAUCGGAGGAGGUAACACAGUACAUUUUGCAUGCCAUGGUUGGAUGCGUCGAUGUAGAUGCUAGUAUCAUGUUCGCGCCAAUCUUUCAAGAGUAAUAUUCUUUCUUUUUCUUAAUAUCUACAAAUAUUUAUUGUUGCAUGAUAUGUGAUUUUUUAAGUAAUUAUUGUUGUUUAAUCUUGCAAUAACCAACAUUGGAUGCUCCUUGUCAUAUGUCCCUUGCCCGGGAUAGUUUAUACCUUCGAUUCUGGCAGCUUUCACAAACAGCGGAAGUUAAAGCUUAAAACACCUAUGAUAGCUGCUUUUAGGAGGUUUAGGAUGAGCGGCCACAGAGUUUGUCGAGAGAAGCUUUUGAGGAAAUAUGUUGAGUGCGCGCAACAAAAAGGAGGCACGGAGUGCGGUUAUUUUGUGAUGCGGUACAUUUUUGUCGUACUCGCUUCAUAUUUUGGUUCGUUGGAUAUGGACAAAGUUGCUCAAACCUUUACCAAAGAUCCUUAUACGGAGGAUCAAAUCAAUGAGGUGAAGAAUAAGUGGGCAAGAUACUUUGUUGAUGAGUGCAUUGCGUAGAAUAGUUAGUUUAUGUUAUAUUCUUUGUUUUUCUAACUUUAGACGAAUAUAUACAUUGUAUUGAUGGAUUUCAUGAUAUAUAUAUGUUGUAUUGCGCUAAAUAUUUUUCUUGGAUUAUUAUGGAAUUGUAUUUAUGA